AAAGAUGAGAGAUUAUAACCGUUCGUCUGUGUGCAGGACAUCCUGAAUCACCUCAUUAAUGACAUCGAGGCCUUCGCAGGCCGACUGACAGCCGUCGCGUCAAAGAUGGACAAGAAGAAAAAGAAGAAGAAGCAUAAGGCUGUGAAGGGAAUGCCGUCAGAGGAGCAGUUCUCCGUCUGUCUGAGGAAAAUCAAGAUGGCCUUUAACCUGCUGGCCAGCCUGCAGGGGAAGAUUAACAAUCCCAGCG
rnacentral:lncRNA from 1 species